ACCUGUUCCCAUACCGAACACAGAAGUUAAGCUCGUGAUCGCCGAAAAUACUUGCCGGGCGACUGGCCGGGAAAAUAGGGAAUGCCGACA
rnacentral:rRNA from 1 species